CCUACGGGAGGCAGCAGUGAGGAAUAUUGGUCAAUGGGCGAGAGCCUGGACCAGCCAAGUCGCGUGAAGGAUGACGGCCCUACGGGUUGUAAACUUCUUUUGUCAGGGAGCAAAUGGGUCCACGCGUGGGCUUAGCGAGAGUACCUGAAGAAAAAGCAUCGGCUAACUCCGUGCCAGCAGCCGCGGUAAUACGGAGGAUGCGAGCGGUAUCCGGAUUUAUUGGGUUUAAAGGGUGCGUAGGCGGAAUAUCAAGUCAGCGGUAAAAAUUCGGGGCUCAACCCCGUCGUGCCGUUGAAACUGAUGUUCUGGAGUGGGCGAGAAGUAUGCGGAAUGCGUGGUGUAGCGGUGAAAUGCAUAGAUAUCACGCAGAACUCCGAUUGCGAAGGCAGCAUACCGGCGCCCAACUGACGCUGAAGCACGAAAGCGUGGGUAUCGAACAGGAUUAGAUACCCUUGUAGUC
rnacentral:rRNA from 1 species